GGAAGAAAGGUGGUGUGCAGAGCGGCUUCUGUGCUCUUCCACGAAUCGAAGCAGCAGGUGGAAGAUGAAGAGGAUGGCGAUAAGAGCACUCUGGACAACUGAGGAUAACAAGCAACAUUGAAUAACAAAGCAAGUCAGUCCAGAAAUCAAAACAUUUUACAUUUCCUUCAGAGCGCCACACAAUUCUUCACCUUCCUCAAGAGGUAAGAGAGAAACAAGAGAAGAGGAAGAAGAGAUUUCUACCUGGGAAAAGUAAUGUGUGAAAUUCAAGCAUACGUUACAUGAGAAGUCAAUAGAGAUUAUUUUUCCAUUCAGCUAAAGAAGGAAAUGAAAACGU